AUUGAACGCUGGCGGCAGGCUUAACACAUGCAAGUCGAGCGGGGUGAUGGUGCUUGCACUAUCACUUAGCGGCGGACGGGUGAGUAAUGCUUAGGAAUCUGCCUAUUAGUGGGGGACAACAUCUCGAAAGGGAUGCUAAUACCGCAUACGUCCUACGGGAGAAAGCAGGGGAUCACUUGUGACCUUGCGCUAAUAGAUGAGCCUAAGUCGGAUUAGCUAGUUGGUGGGGUAAAGGCCUACCAAGGCGACGAUCUGUAGCGGGUCUGAGAGGAUGGUCCGCCACACUGGGGCUGGGACACGGCCCAGACUCCUACGGGAGGCAGCAGUGGGGAAUAUUGGACAAUGGGGGGAACCCUGAGCCAGCCAUGCCGCGUGUGUGAAGAAGGCCUUAUGGUUGUAAAGCACUUUAAGCGAGGAGGAGGCUCUUUUGGUUAAUACCCAAGAUGAGUGGACGUUACUCGCAGAAUAAGCACCGGCUAACUCUGUGCCAGCCGCCGCCGCCG
rnacentral:rRNA from 1 species